rnacentral:rRNA from 1 species
CAGAGUUCCUGCGCCGAAAAUGUCCGGGGCUGAAACACGACACCGAAGCCGUGGACUCGCAAUGCGAGUGGUAGAGGAGCAUUCUUAAAACCGACGAAGCUGUACCGAAAGGAGCAGUGGAGGGAUAAGAAGAGAGAAUGCCGGAAUGAGUAGCGAGAGAAAGGUGGGAAUCCUUUCGGCCGAAUAUCUAAGGUUUCCAGAGUAAAGCUGAUCUGCUCUGGGUAAGUCGGGGCCUAAGCACAGGUCGCAAGACGUAAGCGAUGGAUAACAGGUUUGGAUUCCUGUACCACGCAUUAUCAGAACUGUAGGGACGCAUGUGGAAAGCACGAGCCGGGAAUGGAAAGACCGGUACAAGCGGGGUAGGUGUACAAUAGGCAAAUCCGUUGUAUAAUCCGAAGACGUGAUGUGGAGCGAAAUAGAGUAGUGAAGCGUGUGAGCCAUGUGCCGAGAAAAGCUGCUAUUGUGUAAUGCGUGCCCGUACCGUAAACCGACACAGGUGGAUGAGGAGAGAAUCCUAAGGCCGACGGAAGAAGCAUUGUUAAGGAAUUCGGCAAAAUGACCCCGUAACUUCGGGAGAAGGGGUGCCUGCGAGAGCAGGCCGCAGAGAAUAGGCUCAAGCAACUGUUUAGCAAAAACACAGGUCUAUGCGAAACCGAAAGGUGAAGUAUAUGGGCUGACGCCUGCCCGGUGCUGGAAGGUUAAGAGGAGAGGUUAGCGUAAGCGAAGCCUUGAAUUUAAGCCCCAGUAGACGGCGGCCGUAACAAUAACGGUCCUAAGGUAGCGAAAUUCCUUGUCGGGUAAGUUCCGACCCGCACGAAAGGCGUAAUGAUUUGAGCACUGUUUCGACAAUGCAUCCGGUGAAAUUGAAGUACCAGUGAAGAUGCUGGUUACCCGCGCCAGGACGGAAAGACCCCAUGGAGCUUUACUCCAGUUUGAUACUGGGAUUCGGUACUGCAUGUACAGGAUAGGUGGGAGACGAAGAAGGAUGGACGCCAGUCUGUCCGGAGUCGCUGUUGGGAUACCACCCCUGUAGUACUGGGUUUCUAACCAGUUGCCAUGAACUGGCAAUGGGACAAUGUCAGGCGGGGAGUUUGACUGGGGCGGUCGCCUCCGAAAGGGUAUCGGAGGCGCUCAAAGGUUCCCUCAAAAUGGUUGGAAACCAUUUGAAGAGUGCAAAGGCAGAAGGGAGCUUGACUGCGACACCGACGGGUGGAGCAGGUACGAAAGUAGGACUUAGUGAUCCGGUGGUAUAAAGUGGGAUUGCCAUCGCUCAACGGAUAAAAGCUACCCUGGGAUAACAGGCUUAUCACUCCCAAGAGUUCACAUCGACGGAGUGGUUUGGCACCUCGAUGUCGGCUCAUCGCAUCCUGGGGCUGUAGCAGGUCCCAAGGGUUGGGCUGUUCGCCCAUUAAAGCGGUACGCGAGCUGGGUUCAGAACGUCGUGAGACAGUUCGGUCCCUAUCCGGCGCGGGCGGAGGAUAUUUGAGAGGAGCUGUCCUUAGUACGAGAGGACCGGGAUGGACGGACCACUGGUGUAUCUGUUGUCGACCAACGGCAUGGCAGAGUAGCCAAGUCUGGAAGGGAUAAACGCUGAAGGCAUCUAAGCGUGAAGCCCCCCUCAAGAUGAGAUAUCCCUCCUUCGGGAGUAAGACCCCUUGAAGACUACAAGGUAGAUAGGGCAGAGGUGGAAGCAUGGCAACAUGUGGAGCUGACUGUUACUAAUAGGUCGAGGGCUUAAUCA